GACGCCGCGUGGGGGAGGAAGGCCCUAGGGUUGUAAACCCCUGUCAGGCGGGAAGAAACUCGGGUCGGCGAAUAGUCGGUCCGAUUGACGGUACCGCCAGAGGAAGCUCCGGCUAACUCCGUGCCAGCACCUGCGGUGACUGAGCGGGCUGGCAAGGCGCAUA
rnacentral:rRNA from 1 species